rnacentral:tRNA from 1 species
GGAAUAUAGCUCAGUUGGUAGAGUGUUUGCCUCGCAUGCACAAGGGCCUGGGCUCAAUCCCCAGAACCA